GCCGGGCUAGCUCAGUCGGUUGAGCAUGAGACUCUCAAUCUCAGGGUUGUGGGUUCCAGCCCCGUGCUGGGUG
rnacentral:tRNA from 1 species